AUUGAACGCUGGCGGCAGGCCUAACACAUGCAAGUCGAACGGCAGCACAGAAGAGCUUGCUCUUUGGGUGGCGGGUGGCGGACGGGUGAGUAAUGUCUGGGAAACUGCCCGAUGGAGGGGGAUAACUACUGGAAACGGUAGCUAAUACCGCAUAACGUCGCAAGACCAAAGUGGGGGACCUUCGGGCCUCACACCAUCGGAUGUGCCCAGAUGGGAUUAGCUAGUAGGUGGGGUAAUGGCUCACCUAGGCGACGAUCCCUAGCUGGUCUGAGAGGAUGACCAGCCACACGGGAACUGAGACACGGUCCAGACUCCUACGGGAGGCAGCAGUGGGGAAUAUUGCACGAUGGGCGCAAGCCUGAUGCAGCCAUGCCGGGUGUAUGAGGAAGGCCUUCGGGUUGUAAAGUACUUUCAGCGGGGAGGAAGGCGGUGAGGUUAAUAACCUUGCCGAUUGACGUUACCCGCAGAAGAAGCACCGGCUAACUCCGUGCCAGCCGCCGCAGUAA
rnacentral:rRNA from 1 species